UUUGAUGUAGCUCAUCAGGAUAGAGCAAUAGACUUUAAUCUAUGUGUAGCGGGUUCGAUUCCCGCCUUCAAAACCA
rnacentral:tRNA from 1 species